rnacentral:rRNA from 1 species
AGAGUUUGAUCCUGGCUCAGAACGAACGUUGGCGGCGUGGAUUAGGCAUGCAAGUCGAACGAAUCCCUUGGGGCUUGCUCCAAGGGGGAAGUGGCGAAAGGGGCAGUAAGGCAUGGGUAACCUACCCUGGGGACGAGGAUAGCCUUCCUAACGGAAGGGUAAUACUUGGCGAUCUGGCGACGAGGCAUCUCGUUACCAGGAAAUGAAUUUCGCCUCGGGAGGGGCUCAUGUAGUAUUAGCUGGUUGGUGGGGUAACGGCCUACCAAGGCGAAGAUGCUUAGCGGGUGUGAGAGCACGACCCGCGCCACUGGCACUGAGACACUGGCCAGACUCCUACGGGAGGCUGCAGUCGAGGAUCUUCGGCAAUGGGCGCAAGCCUGACCGAGCGACGCCGCGUGUGCGAUGAAGGCCUUCGGGUUGUAAAGCACUGU